UACGUAGGUGACCAGCGUUGUCCGGAUUUACUGGGCGUAAAGAGCGCGCAGGCGGUCGUUCAAGUCGAGUGUGAAAGCCCCCGGCUCAACUGGGGAGGGUCACUCGAUACUGAUCGACUUGAAGGCAGGAGAGGGAAGCGGAAUUCCCGGUGUAGUGGUGAAAUGCGCAGAUAUCAGGAGGAACACCGGUGGCGAAGGCGGUUCUCUGGGAAUGUUCUGACGCUGAGGAGCGAAAGUGUGGGGAGCGAACAGG
rnacentral:rRNA from 1 species